rnacentral:rRNA from 1 species
GACGUAGGAGGCGAGCGUUGUCCGGAUUCAUUGGGCGUAAAGAGCACGCAGGCGGUUUGGCAAGUCGGACGUGAAAAUCCGGGGCUCAACCCCGGACCUGCAUCCGAAACUGCCCGACUAGAGGUAGGUAGGGGAGAUCGGAAUUCCUGGUGUAGCGGUGAAAUGCGCAGAUAUCAGGAGGAACACCGGUGGCGAAGGCGGAUCUCUGGGCCUCACCUGACGCUCAGGUGCGAAAGCUAGGGGAGCGAACAGG